GCUGGGUGAGGUGGUGUAUGCCUGUAAUCCCAGCGGCUCGGGAGGCUGAGGCAGGAGAAUCUCAAGUUCAAAGCGAGGCGCUAAGCAACCGAGACUCUGUCUCUA
rnacentral:sRNA from 1 species